UACAGAGGUCCCAAGCGUUGUUCGGAUUCACUGGGCGUAAAGGGUGCGUAGGCGGUCGGGUAAGUCCGAUGUGAAAUCUCCUGGCUUAACUGGGAGGGUGCGCCGGAAACUGGAGUGCUUGAGCGUGGGAGAGGAAAGCGGAAUUCCUGGUGUAGCGGUGAAAUGCGUAGAUAUCGGGAGGAACACCUAUGGCGAAGGCAGCUCGCUGGGACGUUACUGACGCUGAGACGCGAAAGCGUGGGGAGCAAACAGG
rnacentral:rRNA from 1 species